rnacentral:rRNA from 2 species
GACAAUUUGACCUCAAAUCAG